rnacentral:rRNA from 1 species
GAUGAACGCUGGCGGCGUGCCUAAUACAUGCAAGUCGAGCGAACGGACGAGAAGCUUGCUUCUCUGAUGUUAGCGGCGGACGGGUGAGUAACACGUGGAUAACCUACCUAUAAGACUGGGAUAACUUCGGGAAACCGGAGCUAAUACCGGAUAAUAUAUUGAACCGCAUGGUUCAAUAGUGAAAGACGGUCUUGCUGUCACUUAUAGAUGGAUCCGCGCCGCAUUAGCUAGUUGGUAAGGUAACGGCUUACCAAGGCAACGAUGCAUAGCCGACCUGAGAGGGUGAUCGGCCACACUGGAACUGAGACACGGUCCAGACUCCUACGGGAGGCAGCAGUAGGGAAUCUUCCGCAAUGGGCGAAAGCCUGACGGAGCAACGCCGCGUGAGUGAUGAAGGUCUUCGGAUCGUAAAACUCUGUUAUUAGGGAAGAACAUAUGUGUAAGUAACUGUGCACGUCUUGACGGUACCUAAUCAGAAAGCCACGGCUAACUACGUG